UUAUAUUUUAGCAUCUCACCAUUUUAUUUUUCAUGCAAGGAGCAAUUCAAGAAAAUAUUGAAGUCACAUACCAUGAUUUGGACAAUGGCAUAGAUAUGAAUUUGGGAGACAACAUAGACCAUGAGUUGGACAAUGGAUCAAUUCAAGAAAAUAUUGAAGUCACGGACCAUGAUUUGAACAAUAGCAUAGAUAUGAAUUUGGGAGACAACAUAGACCAUGAGUUGGACAAUGGGGCCAAUUUUUAAGAUUGCAUCAGGGCCUCCGGAUUGUUUAAGACGACCCUAUGGAUUAUGCUCUUAGUAUGACCUUCUACAAAAUUCUAAGACAACCCCUUUGCUUGCUGAUGGAUUAGCUGUUGAUGGGAAAGUAAGAAGUUAACAACAUAAUUUUCAAAUUCAUUGGACCAUCCACAAUGAAGCUCCUCUAUUUAGGUAUUUAAGUGAGUCUCACAUAUAAACAUCGUCUAUUUUAAAAUUUUUAAUGUAAGUACCUGUAAACACUCAAAAUUCGGAUGAGAUCUUCUAAAAAACCCAGAAAUUCAAAUGAAAUAAAUGCCUCAAAAAUUGAUCUUCCUUGUGAACCCAUAUGUUUUCUUCAAACCAAAAUCUUCUAAAAUAAAAAACUAAAUCUAAAGGUUGGUUUAUUUGCACAAUUCGUCAAACCGCAUCUUCAUUCAAAAAAUCAAAACUGAAACAAACUGAUUUCA